rnacentral:rRNA from 1 species
GAAUAUUGGACAAUGGGGGGAACCCUGAUCCAGCCACGCCGGGUGUGUGAAGAAGGUCUUUUGGUUGUACAGCACUUUAAGCGAGGAGGAGGCUACUCUAGAUAAUACUUAGAGAUAGUGGACGUUACUCGCAGUAGAAGCACCGGCUAACUCUUUGCCAGCAGCCGCGGUAAUACAGAGGGUGCAAGCGUUAAUCGGAUUUACUGGGCGUAAAGCGCGCGUAGGUGGCCAAUUAAGUCAAAUGUGAAAUCCCCGAGCUUAACUUGGGAAUUGCAUUCGAUACUGGUUGGCUAGAGUAUGGGAGAGGAUGGUAGAAUUCCAGGUGUAGCGGUGAAAUGCGUAGAGAUCUGGAGGAAUACCGAUGGCGAAGGCAGCCAUCUGGCCUAAUACUGACACUGAGGUGCGAAAGCAUGGGGAGCAAAC